rnacentral:rRNA from 1 species
GACGAACGCUGGCGGCGUGCCUAAUACAUGCAAGUAGAACGCUGAAGAGAGGAGCUUGCUCUUCUUGGAUGAGUUGCGAACGGGUGAGUAACGCGUAGGUAACCUGCCUUGUAGCGGGGGAUAACUAUUGGAAACGAUAGCUAAUACCGCAUAACAAUGGAUGACACAUGUCAUUUAUUUGAAGGGGGCAAUUGCUCCACUACAAGAUGGACCUGCGUUGUAUUAGCUAGUAGGUGAGGUAAUGGCUCACCUAGGCGACGAUACAUAGCCGACCUGAGAGGGUGAUCGGCCACACUGGGACUGAGACACGGCCCAGACUCCUACGGGAGGCAGCAGUAGGGAAUCUUCGGCAAUGGGGGCAACCCUGACCGAGCAACGCCGCGUGUGUGAAGAAGGUUUUCGGAUCGUAAAGCUCUGUUGUAAGUCAAGAACGGGUGUGAGAGUGGAAAGUUCACACUGUGACGGUAGCUUACCAGAAAGGGACGGCUAACUACGUG